AUACUUACCUGGCAAGGGAGAUACUGUGAUCAAGAAGGCAGUUCACCCAGGGCGAGGCUCAGCCAUUGCACUCCGGCUGUGCUGACCCCUGCGAAUUUCCCAAAUGUGGAAAUCUCGAUUGCAUAAUUCGCUCUCCCCUGAUGUCUUGUUUAAUGAUAAACUGU